CUUACAGGCAUUUUCGCCGUGCUAGCUCACUCGGCGCUUACGUGUGAGAUGAUUGGACGGAAACAGAAACUCUGGCAGUCAAACCUGAGGGGGGCUGCGACAGUGAAAAUGCUCUCCCUCCUGUUUCUUCCUGGCACAUCGCCGAAACAGCCUGUUGAAGAGGAUGUAGAGGUGACUGAAGAUGAUGAGAGGUGGAGGCAGGAUGGGACGGUCAUGGAAAGUCAUGAUCAGCUGAUAUCUCUGAAACUUCCACACCUGGUUGGAAAUGGACUUGACUUCAAAGAAGGUGUUGCUGUGGGAGCGAAAAUGCUAACCAGGUCCCAGGUAUUUGUUGACUCCAAAGAUGUCCAAUACUCGAAUGUACCAGAAGAUGAUGUCUAUGCAGUAGAUGACUCGGCCGUAGCCCAUGUACGGUUCAUGCUGGAGCCGCAACAUGAGCCCCAGAAGGAAGGUGGAAAUUGCAACCAGAGCCAAGUGUGAGGAUGUAUGCAAUUACAGUCCACUCCUGUAUAGAUGGCCAUCGCUCCAUUUUCACCAGGAUGAUGUAGUUGUACAACAUUAAGUAGCCAAGAUAGCAAAUCUGCCAUAAAACAGUGAUAAAAUAAUUUUAUUGGACGUUAUAAUUCUGUUUAAAUGCUUGCUAUAAUUCUCUAUCAUGCAUAAGAAGAGGAACUUACAGUGUUGAACCAGAAUUUAGUGAACGGUGCGUCGUAAAACUCAAAGAACCUUUUGCCAAUGGGGAUUUUGCGGACUUUAGUGCUUCCUUCCUCUUCAUCUCCCUUUCGGGAAGUUGCGUCCGUGUUACCCUCCUACAACAAAACAGCAAACAUCUCACCAAGACUGUGACAACCCCCCACCUGGACAGGUGCUCCUGUCUUGCUGGGUCAUCAGCUCAUCAGCUGAGGGUCGUCAGCUGAUGAGCCACACCUGGGAUCAAGUGGCUCAACUCUACACAACUUUGAUCACUUCCAGAGCGGUUCUCUGCAGGAGCUUCAGCUGUGUGUUUUGGGUUUUCUGUGUGAGCCUUCGAGCCAGGCUGUAACAAAGACAUAUUUAAUUCUUGUACUAACGGUACAUGAUAGGAAGCAUCAUCUCCGAUACGGAAAUCCAACAGCAGAAUGAGAAGAGGAAAGAUGAUUCCCAGAAUAACCUAGGUGAGAUGUCACAGAGAGAUGAAGCCAUGAGUACAAGUGUCAUUAAUGUGAAAUAUUUGCUGUGGUUGCUUGAGAUGAACCAUUUUUCAUGCCAACCUUGAGGCCAGGGUUUUUUCCAAUCCUUAAGCAGCCCAUCCACAUGUCAGUGAGCAACAUC